CAGUCCAAUAUUCGGGUCCUGUCCCUCCAUCCCAACCAAAGAACUGCCCCCAACAUGCAUUGUGCAUCAUUAGAGGUGUGAGCGCUAUGUUCAGGGCACUAGCACACUGCAGAGAUUACUGAAAUAGUGCUCCCUGCAGGGUCUUCCCUAAGUGGGCCAAUCUUAAACGACAGACAGGCAGCCUGGUGUGUUCAAAGGGGAAUGUGCCC